rnacentral:tRNA from 1 species
GAGAAAUUAGUUUAAAAAAAACAUUAAAAUGUCAAAUUAAAAUUACUUAAAAGUAUUUCUUU